GAUGAAGAACGUAGUGAAAUGCGAUAAGUAAUGUGAAUUGCAGAAUUCAGUGAACCAUCGAAUCUUUGAACGCACAUUGCGCCCGCCGGUAUUCUGGCGGGCAUGCCUGUUCGAGCGUCAUUUCAACCCCUCAGGCCCCCGCGCGGGGCCUGGCGUUGGGGACCGGCCCCGCCACCCAGUGGCGGCCGCACCCGAAAUCCAGUGGCGGCCACGCCGCGGCUUCCUCUGCGCAGUAGCAAUCGCCUCGCAGCUGGGACGCGGCGCGGCCACGCCCCCACGCAACGAGCACCUUCGUGGUCUGACCUCGGAUCAGGUAGGAGUACCCGCUGAACUUAAGCAUAUCAAUAAGCGGAGGA
rnacentral:misc_RNA from 1 species